AAUAGCCUAACGGCUGAACCAGCAACUUGGAAGAAUGAAUAGUAACAGCUAAUUGCAUAUAUAUAUAUAUGAUGCAAUAUCGACUCUGUCGAAUAAAAUUCUGGUUAGUAUUAUGAUAAUGACAUUGUCUAGCCAUGUGUCUUGACCAAAUUACGUGCCAGCAGUCGCGGUAAUACGUAGAAGACUAGUGUUAUUCAUCUUUAAUAGGUUUAAAGGGUACCCAGACGGUAAAUCAAGCCCUAGAGGGGACUAAUUUGCUAGAGUUACUUACGCGGGGGUUAUGAAGUACUAAUGGUGUAGAGAUAAAAUUUUGUAAUACCAUUUUUCGAAAGAAAAGUUAUGGCACUGAUAAAGGCGAAAGCAUCCCCUUAUGUGAUAACUGACGUUGAAAGACGAAGGCUUUGGAUCGCGAAUAGGAUUAGAUACCCUUGUAGUCAAAGCAGAGAAUUAUGAAUGUCAUAGACUAGAAAUUAAUUUUAUUCUAUAAAUGAAAGUGUAAGCAUUCCACCUCAAGAGUAAUUUGGCAACAUUGGAACUGAAAUCAUUAGACCGUUUCUGAAACCAGUAGUGAAGUAUGUUGUUUAAUUUGAUGUUCCGCAAAAAACCUUACCACAGCUUGAAUAUUUAUAUUUUUGAUAUAUUUACAUGUGUUGCACGGCUGUCUUCAGUUAAUGUCGUGAGAUUUUGGUUAGAUCCAUUAAAUUAACGCAAGCCCUUACUAUAUUUAGAUGUUUUAUAAUAUAAAAAAUAACAAAUAAAGUAGUUCCCCACUAUAUUGGAUAUGAUAACAGGGAUUAAGACAAGCCCUCAUGGCCUAAAUGCUGU
rnacentral:rRNA from 1 species